rnacentral:tmRNA from 1 species
GGGGGUGACUGGUUUCGACUCGGGACGGUAGUUCCAGGGGAAGCGGGUCGAGGAUCCACGCUUAUCUCGUUAACGCUGCGUGGAAACCAAUAAGUGCCAACAACAACCGCACUAACUUCGCUCUCGCUGCCUGAUCAGCGACCGAAGGGUCAGCUCGGAUGAGCCUUCCGUCCGAUUCCUGGCCUCAUUCAGAAGGCUUGCUGAGCCGCCUGUGUUUCAGGGGCUGCUCGGGACUUAACUGAGACUGGGUCCGUUUGCGACUUGCCGACAUGAGUGCAAGGACCGAGUAAAACGCCUACGUCGGCUGCACCCGGAGAAGCCCUGGUUCACCUCUCGAGGACGCGGGUUCAAUUCCCGCCACCUCCACCC